rnacentral:rRNA from 1 species
UUUUAUGGAGAGUUUGAUCCUGGCUCAGGAUGAACGCUGGCGGCGUGCCUAAUACAUGCAAGUCGAGCGAACGGACGAGAAGCUUGCUUCUCUGAUGUUAGCGGCGGACGGGUGAGUAACACGUGGAUAACCUACCUAUAAGACUGGGAUAACUUCGGGAAACCGGAGCUAAUACCGGAUAAUAUUUUGAACCGCAUGGUUCAAAAGUGAAAGACGGUCUUGCUGUCACUUAUAGAUGGAUCCGCGCUGCAUUAGCUAGUUGGUAAGGUAACGGCUUACCAAGGCAACGAUGCAUAGCCGACCUGAGAGGGUGAUCGGCCACACUGGAACUGAGACACGGUCCAGACUCCUACGGGAGGCAGCAGUAGGGAAUCUUCCGCAAUGGGCGAAAGCCUGACGGAGCAACGCCGCGUGAGUGAUGAAGGUCUUCGGAUCGUAAAACUCUGUUAUUAGGGAAGAACAUAUGUGUAAGUAACUGUGCACAUCUUGACGGUACCUAAUCAGAAAGCCACGGCUAACUACGUGCCAGCAGCCGCGGUAAUACGUAGGUGGCAAGCGUUAUCCGGAAUUAUUGGGCGUAAAGCGCGCGUAGGCGGUUUUUUAAGGCUGAUGUGAAAGCCCACGGCUCAACCGUGGAGGGUCAUUGGAAACUGGAAAACUUGAGUGCAGGAGAGGAAAGUGGAAUUCCAUGUGUAGCGGUGAAAUGCGCAGAGAUAUGGAGGAACACCAGUGGCGAAGGCGACUUUCUGGUCUGUAACUGACGCUGAUGUGCGAAAGCGUGGGGAUCAAACAGGAUUAGAUACCCUGGUAGUCCACGCCGUAAACG